rnacentral:rRNA from 1 species
UACGGAGGGUGCGAGCGUUGUCCGGAAUUACUGGGCGUAAAGGGCGCGUAGGCGGCCUGCUAAGUCGAACGUGAAAUCCCUGGGCUCAACCCAGGAACUGCGUCCGAUACUGGUUGGCUUGAAUCCGGGAGAGGGAUGUGGAAUUCCAGGUGUAGCGGUGAAAUGCGUAGAUAUCUGGAGGAACACCGGUGGCGAAGGCGACAUCCUGGACCGGUAUUGACGCUGAGGCGCGAAAGCCAGGGGAGCAAACGGG